rnacentral:rRNA from 1 species
AGGACGAACGCUGGCGGCGUGCUUAACACAUGCAAGUCGAGCGGAAAGGCCCUUCGGGGUACUCGAGCGGCGAACGGGUGAGUAACACGUGAGUAAUCUGCCCCUAGCUCUGGGAUAGCUCCGGGAAACCGGGAUUAAUACCGGAUACGACCACCUUAGACAUCUUUUGUGGUGGAAAGAAUUUCGGCUAGGGAUGAGCUCGCGGCCUAUCAGCUUGUUGGUGGGGUAACGGCCUACCAAGGCGACGACGGGUAGCCGGCCUGAGAGGGCGACCGGCCACACUGGGACUGAGACACGGCCCAGACUCCUACGGGAGGCAGCAGUGGGAAUAUUGCGCAAUGGGCGAAAGCCUGACGCAGCGACGCCGCGUGGGGGAUGAAGGCCUUCGGGUUGUAAACCCUUUCAGCAGGGACGAAGCGAAAGUGACGGUACCUGCAGAAGAAGCGCCGGCUAACUACGUGCCAGCAGCCGC